GACGAACCGUGCGAACGUUAUUCGGAAUCACUGGGCUUAAAGCGCGUGUAGGCGGGAGGGCACGUCCGUCGCUGAAAUCCCCCGGCUCAACCGGGGAACGGGCACGGAUACGACCUUCCUGGAGGGGCGUAGGGGGACCUGGAACUUCCGGUGGAGCGGUGAAAUGCGUUGAGAUCGGAAGGAACGCCCGUGGCGAAAGCGACUUCCUGGACCAAUACUGACGCUCAUGUGCGAAAGCGUGGGGAGCAAACAGG
rnacentral:rRNA from 1 species